CCUCCCUGACGUAGCAAACCGAUCGUCGGAUAUUGAUUGUCUCAAAGGUCUAGUGAGAGGACAUGAAGCUCAUUAAGAGAGGUGGAGUCAUGGACUGGUGGUGAACAUGAGGCCCAUUGGAGAGAUAGUUGUCGGGGCGUUACAUGAGCCUUCUUAGAAACGAAAUACUUGAUCAGAAAAGUGCUACAUUAUAGAGUUCUUCAUAUUAAAAAAAAAAAAAUUUAAAUGUUUUCCACUGUCGGGAUUCGAACCCGGAAGUGAGAGCAAUGUUUUUUUAAACAUAGCAUUUUAACCAAUGUGCUAUAGCAAAUCUUUUGUGAUUAUAUGAAUUCAUAAACUAUUAUAUAUAAAUAUUUGAAUAUUUAAAGGGUAUACAAUAUUAGUCUAUUAGCAAAGCAUUCACUUUGUUGUUACGAGCCUUCUUAGAAACGAAAGACUUGAUCAAAAAAGUUCUACAUUCUAGAGUUUCUAGAAUUAACAAAAAAAAAUUGAAAAAUGUUUUCCGCUGCUAGGCUUUGUACCCGAAAAUUGAUGAGGUGCAAAGAAGCGAAGAUGUGGAACCGGUUCGCCGCUCGGUUUGACCAAGGAUACCAAACCGCAAGUAUCUCGAUUGAAGUCAACAUUUGGAGACUUAAGUUUAUUUCUUUGCUUUUUUUUGUUUUUUUUGUUGCAAAUAAGUUGAAGUGGUGUUCCACUUUAAAACGAGCCAUUCAACCACUUUCGCUAUUCCCUAAGUCGUAGGUAU
rnacentral:lncRNA from 1 species